GAAAUGCGAUAAGUAGUGUGAAUUGCAGAAUUCAGUGAAUCAUCGAAUCUUUGAACGCACAUUGCGCCCUUUGGUAUUCCAAAGGGCAUGCCUGUUCGAGCGUCAUUUGUACCCUCAAGCUUUGCUUGGUGUUGGGCGUCUUGUCUCUAGCUUUGCUGGAGACUCGCCUUAAAGUAAUUGGCAGCCGGCCUACUGGUUUCGGAGCGCAGCACAAGUCGCACUCUCUAUCAGCAAAGGUCUAGCAUCCAUUAAGCCUUUUUUCAACUUUUGACCUCGGAUCAGUUAGGGAUACCCGCUGAACUUAAGC
rnacentral:misc_RNA from 1 species